GUGGUCCACCGACAAUUACUUUACCUUUCAUGCUUGCAAGCGUACUCCCCGGAAAGUGGGCUUAAUCGCUUCCCUGCCACCUUUUCUGGAAGGCUAGAUGGUGUAUCGGGGUACUCGGGCUUCUUCUGGGUGUUCCUUCCCGGAUGGGACUGCGUCCGAUCUCGCUGUUGGUGGGGUAAUGGCCCACCAAACCUGUAAGCGGUACGGGCCUUGACAGAGGUGGCCCGGAGAUGGACACUGAAAUAAGGGUCCAGGUCCUACGGGGCGCACCACGCGCGAAACCUUCACAAUGCGCGAAAGCGUGACGAGGUUAAUCCGAGUGGCCUCCGCUGAGGAGGUCUUUUGUCAGCUGUAAAUAGGCGGGCGAAUAAGGGGAGGGCAAGCCUGGUGUCAGCCGCCGCGGUAAUACCAGCUCCUCGAGUGGUCGGGGCGAUUAUUGGGCCUAAAGCAUCCGUAGCCUGUUCUGUAGGUCCUCUGUCAAAUCCAACGGCUUAACCAUUGGCCCGCAGAGGAUACCGCGCGACUAGGAGGCGGGAGAGGUGGACGGUACUCCACGUGUGGGGUAAAAUCUUUUGAUCCAUGGAGGACCACCAUCGGCGAAGGCGGUCCACCAUAACGCGCUCGUGGUGAGGGAUGAAAGCUGGGGGAGCGAACCGGAUUACAUAUCCUGUAGUCAUACCCGUAAACGAUGCAAGCUAGAUGAUCCGGUCGCUAUCGCGAUCAUAGUGUGACAUAUCGCCGUUAAUCUUGCCUUCUGGGGAGUAUCCUCGUAUCACUGAAACGUUGACUACUUGUUAGUGAGCAC
rnacentral:rRNA from 1 species